rnacentral:rRNA from 1 species
GGAAUCUUCCACAAUGGACGAAAGUCUGAUGGAGCAACGCCGCGUGAGUGAAGAAGGUUUUCGGAUCGUAAAACUCUGUUGUUGGAGAAGAACACGUUUGAGAGUAACUGUUCAGACGUUGACGGUAUCCAACCAGAAAGCCACGGCUAACUACGUGCCAGCAGCCGCGGUAAUACGGAAGGUCCGGGCGUUAUCCGGAUUUAUUGGGUUUAAAGGGAGCGCAGGCGGGAGGUUAAGCGUGCCGUGAAAUGUACCGGCUCAACCGGUGAGUUGCGGCGCGAACUGGCUUUCUUGAGUGCGUACGAGGAAGGCGGAAUUCGUGGUGUAGCGGUGAAAUGCUUAGAUAUCACGAAGAACUCCGAUUGCGCAGGCAGCCUUCCAGUCCGUUACUGACGCUAAAGCUCGAAGGUGCGGGUAUCGAACA